rnacentral:rRNA from 1 species
AUGGCCAGCGCGCCAGCCCCACCGCCCCGCCGCGUGGUCGUCUGCGGCGGUGGCGUUGUCGGCGCUUGCACGGCCUAUUUCCUGUCCACCCACCCGGCCUCCCCCACCAUGCCGACCCUCGUCGAGAAGUCCUCCCCCGCUUGCGCUGCCUCAGGCAAGGCGGGCGGCUUCCUCGCCCUCGACUGGAGCGACUCCACCCCCGCACUCUCGGCGCUGGCGCGAGCAUCCUUCGGCCUCCACCGCCGCCUCGCCGCUGCCCUCGACGGCGCCAACGCGUACGGCUUCCGCCCCGUCCACACCCUCUCCAUCUGCCUCCCCUCUCAGCCCCCGAGCCCGUCACCCCACCCGCUCCUCCCUUCCUGGGUCGACCCCUCCGCCUCCGCCGCGCCGCCGCGCCAGCUCGGAACUCCGGACACCACCGCGCAGGUCCAUCCGGGCCUCUUCACCAAGGCCGUCCUCGCCGCGUCCGGCGCCGAGGCGGUCAUCGGCGAGGUGGAGCGCGUGGUGGUCAACGAAGGGCGUGUCGUCGGCGUCGCGGUGAAGGGGCGCGGCGUGGUGGACGCGGAUGCCGUGGUGCUCGCGCUCGGCCCUUGGUCUGGGCGUUUCGAGAUGGUCAAAGAGGUGUUCGACGUGUCCGGGCUCAAGGCGCACAGCAUCGUGCUCCGGCCGCGCAACCCCGACAAGAUCACGCCGCACUGCCUGUUCCUGAGCUACCAGCCGGAGCCCGGCGGCAAGAUGCUCGACCCGGAGGUCUACCCGCGCCCCACGGGGGAGGUGUACAUUUGCGGAAUGAGCAAGGACGAGGAUGUUCCAGAUGAUCCGGCAGCGAUUGCCGGGGAGCCGGACUCCAUUGCAAUGCUUCACAAGAUCGCUGGGAGGGUGUCCAGCCAACUGAAGACAGAGGAGGGCGCAGAGGUAGUCGCGGAACAGGCCUGCUACCUCCCGUGCACCAAUGAUGGGCUGCCGGUCAUCGGGGAGAUGCCUGGGGUGAAGGGAUGCUACGUUGCAACCGGGCACAGCUGCUGGGGCAUCCUCAAUGCUCCUGCUACCGGUGCAGCACUCGCCGAGCUCAUCCUCGAUGGACACGCCAAGAUUGUUGAUCUCGCGCCCUUCAGCCCGGCAAGAUUUCUCAAGAAGAAGAGCAGGCGCGGAGUGUAA